CUCUCUCUCCUCUACCCGAACUCUCUCUCUCUCAUCUUUCCAAAAAUUUUUCUUCAAUUUCAAAACUCCAUAACUCACUCGUUCUUAAUCAGAAUAAGUGAUUCUUGUUUCUAUGAGUUCACAGCGAAGAGGAGAACGAGAUGGCAUCCAUAUUGAAUAUGGAAAUCCAUCAUGCCCGGUAGCCCACCGGCGCUCCACCGCCGCCCCCGCCGUGAGCCACCACUUCCGGUGGUGGUGGUCGACACCACCCGCUUCAAAACGUUGAGGACGACGUCGAGAUGCAAAGCCCUAAGGAAAUUUUGAGGAAGGAGCUUCUAUUUUUGAGAGUUGGUAGCUUGAUUGGCAAUGUGGUAAGUUGACGUCAAUGGAUUGAAGGCUCGAGAUAUGAGGUGGCUUGUUUUAACUAGAAUUUACUGUUUUUAAAUUCUUAAGUUGUAUUGUAUACUUGUAUAUGAUCUGUAUUGGUCGGCAUUUUCCCUGAGAUUUGUUAAGUUUAAAAUUAUGGACUUUUUAAUAUUAUUUGUAAAAGAAAGCUUCCGGAGCAAUAUAUCUUGAUAUUUAUGCAUUUAUUUUCA